AGUGAACGCUGGCGGCAGGCCUAACACAUGCAAGUCGAACGGCAGCACAGCAGUAGCAAUACUGUGGGUGGCGAGUGGCGGACGGGUGAGGAAUACAUCGGAAUCUGCCUAGUCGUGGGGGAUAACGUAGGGAAACUUACGCUAAUACCGCAUACGACCUACGGGUGAAAGCGGGGGAUCGCAAGACCUCGCGCGAUUAGAUGAGCCGAUGUCCGAUUAGCUAGUUGGCGGGGUAAUGGCCCACCAAGGCGACGAUCCAUAGCUGGUCUGAGAGGACGACCAGCCACACUGGGACUGAGACACGGCCCAGACUCCUACGGGAGGCAGCAGUGGGGGAAUCUUGGACAAUGGGCGCAAGCCUGAUCCAGCCAUGCCGCGUGAGUGAAGAAGGCCUUAGGGUUGUAAAACUCUUUCGCCGGUGAAGAUAAUGACGGUAACCGGAGAAGAAGCCCCGGCUAACUUCGUGCCAGCAGCCGCGGUAAU
rnacentral:rRNA from 1 species